rnacentral:rRNA from 1 species
CAGUCGCCGCGGUAAUACGUAGGGUGCAAGCGUUAAUCGGAAUUACUGGGCGUAAAGCGUGCGCAGGCGGUUAUAUAAGACAGAUGUGAAAUCCCCGGGCUCAACCUGGGAACUGCAUUUGUGACUGUAUAGCUAGAGUACGGCAGAGGGGGAUGGAAUUCCGCGUGUAGCAGUGAAAUGCGUAGAUAUGCGGAGGAACACCGAUGGCGAAGGCAAUCCCCUGGGCCUGUACUGACGCUCAUGCACGAAAGCGUGGGGAGCAAACAGGAUUAGAUACCCCGUAGUCCCUGUCUCUUAUACA